GCGCCAGUCGCCGUAGUAGCGCGCGGUAAUCGAGAGCGGGGGGAUAAGGAGCUCUCGGGCCUGUCGGAAGCUGCCAGUCUUGACGUUAGCGUUGGAGAAACAGCGAGCUGUUCGGUUAAAAUGGACACAUAUCAAAGCCAGCCAAUCAAGUGGAAGCCAGCAGAGGUGGAAAAAGUAGUUGCAGAUCUGCUCAACUAGAGAGCAGCUGUGCAGGGGCGGCAUUGACGGAGACGAUGCAAUCUCUUUCGUACCUCUUGUCACUGUAAGUGGUGGUCCUCCCAGGUGAAUGUUGCUGUAGGCGCAUCAGCUACAUGAAUGUGUUCAGCACCACAACUGGCGACCGAUCUGCUGAUCCCGGUACCUUACUUUCAUUUUCCAUCUCAAUCUCCAGAUCAAUUGCACCAAAAUUACAGUCUGACAACUCAAGAGUCCAAUUCAAAAUAAUAAAAUAUAUGCAAAAUCAUCCACUGAGUAUUUUGCUUUGUGCAUUCACUUCUGUCUCUUGCCAGAUAUCGAUGCCAUUUUUGCUGUGGUUUGCUCUUCACUGUGUCACACACAUGUGGGGAUUUGAUGUCACAAGUCAACGAGUCUAACAUUCCUCCAAGUCUACCUUUACCAUAAUGGGGCUCAAAAGUGAUUGGACAAUCAACUCAAAGGGUAUUUCAUGUGCAGUGUGUGCAGUGGAUGAAGCCUGGAGACAAUGAGGAUUGCGUUAAGCACAUUUAUGUUGGGUAGAAUGCCAAAUGGAGAUGGGCUUUAGGGUGGUCUUGUGGCCACCUUUGAACCCCUGCAGAUUUUAUUUUGUCCUCCCAGCCAUAUGACCUCAUCACAAGACUCCUCUCUACAGACUUACAUUAUGAUGAUGUAGAUAAGGACGCUACCCUCCUACUAAUUAUAUAGCUAUGUUUUAUAAAAUUGUAUG